GGAGGCCUGUGUUUGUCUGUCUUGCUUGUGCGUGCGUUUGCGAGGAAAAAGAUCCUGGAUCAGGAGCGCAUUUCUAGAGGUCAACAGCUGCUCAUGAGAUAGUAGGACAAGGUCACCAGGAGCAUGGAGGAUUACAGCAGAAAGAUUUUGGGAAGGGUAAAUGGCAGAAACAGGAGAGGAGGAGAAUGAGUAGAAAGGAGGUGUCAAGGAAGUCAGUAUAAAACUGCCCUCAUUAUUAUUUUUUCCUGUAUUUUUCAAGCACAGAGCAAAGGACGGCAAAAGCAAAAGAAGUGUCUGAAGGCUUCUCAGCAGUGUAGUCAAACCUCCCUGUUUCACAGUUGAAACUAGUCUUAGGGAGUGAUAUCACAUGGCAGCUGAGCCAAAUCUAAUGGACUGCUGGUAUCAAAAGGACACUUCUGCUCCCAGCCCUCCUGCUUUCUUUGUACAGGUCUGGUGGUUGUCUGGCCCUUUGAUGAGCUCAUGCAGCUCAAUAAACUGGAAGAAAAUGAAUUCUGUAAAAAAAAUGUACCAGCCCAGGAAAGGAGGAGAGUUGGACACUCUGAGAAUAGAGACUGGAACUGCAAUGAGUGGGAGAAGUGGUGCUUCCCUCAAAACAGCACAAGAUGAACAUGGCCUGAUCAGGGAUGCUGGCUGGAUUGGUGCAGGGAGGUCAUGCAGCAGCGUCAGCCCACAUGGCAGAGAAAGGAAUGAACAGGACUGCAGGAGCCCAGGAGGAUGCUGUCAUGGCAAUCAAUGAUAUCAGAAAUACAGAGAUCAAGAGACUGAUACUAUGCACUAGCUAAAUCUUUUUGUAAAAACUUAAUAGCCUUCCAGUGCCUAAAGCUUCAGCACAAGAAAACAAAGGUCUUCAGAAAGAAGAUGAGAAGAAAACAACCAGGACUUCAGUGGCAUCCUCACAAGUCACUGUAAUAUUCUGUAUAAAUAUUGUCUAUAUAUAUGUUUUGUUUUGUCAGUCCUGUAAAAUAACAUUUUAUCUGGUUGUUCAAUUCUCUUAUCACCCACAGCUUGUUUACUCAAUUUUAAGUCUUGGGUAAGAUGAAGCAAGCUCAUGAGGAGUAGUUGGUUUUCAGAAGAUACCAAGCUCCAGAUAACUGAGGACAAGUAAAGCACACAGCAAUAUUGAAAUCACUCAGAGUUUUAUUGCAGCUGACUGAGACAGAGUGUGCUUUGAGGCUGGGAAAUUUCCAUUACUGAAGUGCAGGACAGUGCCUGAAUAUUGCUGCUACUGCAGCUGAAAAAUAAAAGCAACUUAAUUUUAUAUAGACAGCAACAAAAUGUCAGCAUAUUAAUUAAAAUUGUUAGAAUUAUAUAAUAAGCUUUUAAGGCUGCUGUAAAAUUGAUUGUUUUAAAAACAUUUAGAGUGCAAUUGUAAACGACUUGUACAAAACCAAGGAACAUACAAAUGACUUGAAACUGCAACUGUGUUUUCAAACCAUAUUUGUGAACAGCAAAUCUAACAAGAACAUGAUAGAUAAUACACGACAUCUCCUACAACAGUGACAGAUUCUGACAGUGACAGAACGAUACCCAGUGCAAGAUUAAGGUUGUUACUGACAGAAUAGUUCUUCAAUUAAUAAUCUUUUGCGCUCCCCUUGGCAUGCACAAAACAAACAUAGCAAUCUGUAUACUAAUUUUAACUCCACGGUGUAUAAGCCCCCUCCAAAGUCAGUCAGAAUGCUGAAUACUGGGGGGAAAAAAAGUAGAUUUGUUUUGGCAUCAGUUGCCCAGCAGUUUGGGUGAGAGACUGUUUUUAACUUCCCAAUGGUGUAAGAUUACAGUGAGAUCCUCAUUUUUGUUGAGGUCACUUCACACUAUCAAAGCAGCGGUCGACAUUUAACUGGAAGUCAGUCUCAAGGGAUUUCAGCUGUAUGUCACCAGUUAAAUCAAGCCCAGGUAGGUGCUGACUAGGAGUUAUUAGCAUCUGAUGCUCUUUGUGAAUCUUAGGAUAGUUCCCUGUGGAUCAGAGCUCAUAUCUAAGCAAUUUAAGUUUGUGUCACGUUUAUCACCAUGGUUCCUGAGUGCCUUAGAAGUUAAAAUAUAUCUUUAUAAAACAUCUUACAUGUCUUAUUUCUCUCUCUUGUCACCCCCGCACAGAGGCUUGAGGUCUUUUAAAAUAAUGCUGGGAAAACUGUUUUAUAUACUUAAUGCCUGCAUUUUGUUGGGAUGAUUGAGAGGUUCAGGGUCCUGCUGAGGUACUCUGAAAGCAAAUGCCGUGCUCCUACAGCAGCUACCAAGAAAGCUGUGUCCUCAAUGUCCCCAUGCAAAUAAUACAACUAACGUAAUGAUGAUGAUUUUGGGAGAUGCAGCUUUAAGUUAGCAAAAAAAAAAUUGAAAUUGCUCCCACUCCCAGUAAAGAGUGGCACUGUAGGGCAGCUACAUUAAGUGUUUGUCCUUUGCCUAAACCUGAUAAUGCUGUUUCCAGGACUCGUAGGGCCUUUUGUAGUAUGACAUUUACUUUUCAAGAGAUCUAUUUACAGAACACGAAGUUAACAGUUAAAGAAGGUAUGUAGAACAGUGCGGAGAAUUUCUAAACCCUGACUGAAGGAUGAACUCAUCCAUGUGACUCCUGAGCUUGAUAUGAAGGUGGAGAUAGUCCAAAACAUGGCAUAUUUAAACUGACCAAUUGUAUGGCUUAGCUGUUUCCUAAUACAGCUUUCAAACUGAAAUACUGUGUUUCUGUUUGGACAAACUCUUCUUAUCCGUGCUUUUACUUCUAUUUGAAAUAAAAGGGUUUUUUUUUUCUUUCUGCUUUUCAUUAUCUGCUAUUAUUUUUUAGUAAGUAUCUUUUCCCUCCAAUAUAACCCUUUAUUUUGAUCACGGAACUAAUAAUUUUCUUAAAACACAUUUACGUUCUUUCCAGAACUGAGGUUUUAAUGUCAUCUUGUAAGGCAAAAGAACCCAACAUUAAGUGCAGGUAAUGGCAGUGUAUUUAAAUAGGUUGAAAAGCAAUUGAUAACACUUCUGCCUGGUCUGCCUAUUUCAGUAGCUGUAGUCCUUCACUGAAAUACUCACAGUAAGUUCUGUCACAGGAGGAGUUGUUGGGAAAGCAUGCCAUAGCCUUUUGACCACUUUUUUAAUUGGAUUAGACAUAUAUUUGAACACAGCACUCAAAGGAGCUGACAGUCUUUCCACAAUUUCCUGGUCUGCCUGGUUGGUUUCCUUUUUGAUCAGACACGUCCUGGUGAAGGUAAAAAAAUAAUCUAAAUACACGACAGUUUUUAAUUAGAUUUGCUAUGACAGGUUGUGUUUAAGCUAGAUUCUUUAUAAUAACUUGUUUUGCAUUUGCUGAUGACAGAUUUAUUUAUGUAUGUAAUCAGAACUGUAAGCAUAAUUUCAUUUUUAGAGUUAAGAGAACCUUUU